CGGGGACAGGCGUAGCGCGCGGGGGCGGCGGAGCCCACAAUCCAGACAGCCCCCCCGGUUCCCUCGCCUUGUGCCGCAAUCAGCUCCUCUUCCCAGCGGCACCGGUUCCUACCCCCCCCCGCUUGGGAUCAAGGCGGAAACCUCCUUCUCCACGCCGGGAAGCCCACCCGGAGGUUUCGCUCGAAGGCUGAGCGGCUCUUGCUGCUGUUUCCCCGAAGAAGGGGGAGCCCGUUCCCAGCGCGCCGCGAGAGGAGAAGCUGCCUGGGCGUGUAAACGCAGAGAUCCCUUGGAUUUGGCCCUGGGCAUGGACAACCCUCUCCAGGCUCGAAGGAGAGGACUAACUAGUGGAGUAGCAUUCAAGAAAAACCAAAACACGUGCUAAAGCUAUCCAAAGCAUAACAGGAAGGGGAAGCCUUCCAGCCCAACAACUAUGCCUUUUGGGUUGAAAUUGCGACGGACCAGGCGCUAUAAUGUCCUGAGCAAGAACUGUUUUGUGACCCAAAUCCGUCUGCUGGACAACAAUGUGAUUGAGUGCACACUGUCAGUGGAGAGCACAGGCCAGGAGUGUCUGGAAGCUGUGGCCCAGAGACUGGAAUUACGGGAGACACACUAUUUUGGCCUUUGGUUUCUCAGCAAGAACCAGCAUGCACGAUGGGUGGAACUGGAGAAACCUCUGAAGAAACAGCUCGACAAAUUUGCCAAUGAGCCUUUGCUUUUCUUUGGGGUAAUGUUCUAUGUCCCCAGUGUGUCCCGACUGCAGCAAGAGGUCACAAGGUAUGAGAAUUUCUCCCGGUUGCAUUGUUGAUAGUGAAUCUGGGGCAUAGCUCUUUGCUUUGGAUUUUUAAGAAUUGGAGGGUCAUCUGUUUUGCCCCCUUCCUUUUCAGUUCCAGGUAAAACCAGGGGGAGAAACCACCAUUUGGCACAUUCGUUUGAAAAGAUUGGCUCUAUGUGUUGCAUCAGCUAGUGUCCUGCAAAAUUGAAGUGAUAAAAUACACCUUAAAAAUGCUGCCCAUCUGCUUCAAUUGGUGUGGGGACUUGAUGGGGCCAGUGGAGAAAAGAGAAAGCUCCAGCACAAGGGAGGGAAUUGCUCACUGAGGGAGUCCGUGUAGCUCCACUCCAUCCACUGGAGUCUCUGGCACCAUGGAGAGCUGGUGGAGAAGAGCACCAAUUAGCCUGCACAGCCUAGUGCCUGGGAUUUAACGUGGAGCAUAGGCCAUGUGGGGCCUCUUUCAGCUCUGUUCCUGGAGCCCUGUCCACCCUGAGCUAGAAAUGGGAGGCCAGCCUGGCAGAUGCUGCGGGUCUGACCAGUCACCUGUUGGGGAAUCAUGAAGGAAUUGGCAGGACCAAUUGACAGAAGCCUGGGGAGCAUUUUGGCUUUCUUUGCAGCACCUUGGAGUCACAGUGGAUUAGUACCUAACUGAUAUACUUGGUUGUUAAUUUGUAGCAACUUACUGCUGGUUUCUGGUGCAGUUAAACGGAUACAGUGAAGGGGCCCAGAGGAAAAAGACCUGGGAUUUUGCUGGUGGGCCUUGGGCUCAUGACAGAGGGUCAGAUCUUGUGGCCCUUGUAAGCCUAAAUCCUUACCCUUUGGCCUCUCUGACUCCUGAGUGCAGGAGGACAGGGGAGAGCUAAGACUCAGAGCAAGCUGAGUUCUGGAGAGUUGGCUGAGGAGCCACAUAACCCCUGCAGUGGAACCAUUUAAAUGCCUGGCUUAGGGAAGUAUGGGUCAUGCUCUUCCCUUGUAUUUAAGUUGCAGUGUGUUGCUUCAGAUUAGGGAUGUAAAAUCAAUCCCUUUUUAAUUGGUUAACUGGUUAAAGGUAGUGUUUGACUGGCUGUCUGAUUAAACGGGGCAGG